UGAAGCCAGUCAUUUAUCUUAGGUCUUUGCUGUAUUCAAUUCCACAGUUAUUCAUGAGUUCCAUGCUGGACUGUCUGGUUGGCCAAUGAUACUCCAAAAAUUUCUGUAAUUUCAAAAAUGUAAGUUACAGUGACUAGUGUGAUACACCUAGGGUCAGUGAAUACAGUUGAUACUAUUCUAUCCAAAAGAAAAGAAACUUGACAUUUAGUUAACCUAGUCAACCCCAUCAGAGGCAAGGAGUUGGCCCUUCAUACUAUUAAAAAUAAGACAUAAGCCAUUAUUACUGAUUUUAUAAAUACCCCACCAAUCUAAGACCCCAAGGGUGAAAAUCCUUGCAUUUGAGAUUUUUCUGGAAACCUUCCAGCUUUCAAUAUUUGGUGCAUACUUAAGAGUUGACUCAUCUUAGGCGUUUAAACCAGGGGUGGCCAGUGACAGCACAUGUGUUCCUGUUCUCACUUUCUGUGCCUGUCGCAGGCGUCUCUAAUUCAUCUCUACAAACUUUCCCAUUGAAUGACUUUGUUGUUGUUGUUGUUGUUGUUGUUGUUGUUACUUCUUAAUACAGUGUUUCAAGCAACCAGUGAAUCAGAGCUGGUGCUGAAGAUGAAACCAGCUUGUCUUUCCUGCUCUACCCCAUGUCUUAGGUGAUUUGUUCAUAAGGCAAGUGCAGGGGAUACAGGCUCAGAAUUCCUCUGAACAGGGAUACUUGAGAUUCCAUAAUAAGGGUGGAAGAUGUAGAAAUGGGGGGAACUAAGGCAUGCCAAGUCACAGAGAAUAAGAUGACUUUUAUCCCCAUUGGCAGCUGAUUAUAAAUAGCCCUUUAUCAUUCUUUUUGCUUUCUGUACUCCUCUUCCUAACAUAGGUGCAAGGAUUGGAUAAACAGGUAUGGAAAUAAACAGGAAAGGUUAAUUUAAGAAUGGGUUAGUCUAGGCUGGGGAAACUUCCAAAAUGGUCUUGGAAUAAUACUGGUACCACCCUGCAGGGCCAUGGCAAUCAGAGUUUCCUGGUCUCCCAAGUCCUUUCUCUCACAUGAAUUCCUUGGAGCUUGCCAGCCCUGUGAGAAAUGCAGAAAAGAUGUCAUGUUCUCUUUUUAUUCAUGAGGCAAGAGAAGAUUAAAGAAGGUGAGUGGUUUUGCAAAGUCACAUGGUUAGGAAAGGAUGGAAUUGGAAAAAGAACUCAGAUUUGAACAUUUCGAGGUCAACGCUCUUUCUGAUGCAUUUGUGUUACUCACAUUGGGGUAUAAUGGGCCAGGAUAGGCAGGGUAGGGCCAGGCGAUUAUUUCAAAGGUUUGGGAUGAAAUGCCACUUCUCAAGAUUUUCUCACAUCUUGAUAUAAAAAGUGUAAAGGCACAUUAUGAAGUAGAACACAGAAUUUUCAAACUUUUUAUGAUAAAAAUACAAGAUUUUGAAGCUAUUGGCUCUAUGUGGACCCAUUGUGGCCCUUUCCCAGACUUCUGAUGAUGCUUUCACUGUUCCCUUCUGAUGGUAACAAGGGAAAUGGAUUAUCCUUCACCACACUACCUCUCACCUCUUCUUCCCUCCUCCUUCUUGUUCUUCUUUGUCAUUUUUAUUUACGUAAGUGAUGUUGCCAUUCUCAGAGACCCCCAAAGGUAGCUUGCUUGUAAUUCAUCUCAGAGGCCUGGGGCUGCCAUGGUCAGGCUCUGGUGAGGCUCUAUCCCUGGAUUACAGACAGCUGCCUUCCUGCUAUGUCCUUACAGGGCAGAGAGAGAGAGAAAGGCUCUCUGCUGUAUCUUCUUAUAAGCACACUAAUUUCAUCAUGGAGGCUCUGCUCUCAUGGCCUUGUCUGAACCUAAUUUCCUCCCAAAGACCUCAUCUUCAAAUACCAUCACAUUGGGGUUAGGGAUUCAAUAAAUGAAUUUGGAGGGAACACAAUUCAGUCUAUAGUGAUCAGUUAGGAUGAUUUCAAUUGUAAAUAAUAGAAGACCCAACUCAAGAGGCUUAAACAAUAAAAGGCAUUUGUUGGCCCAGAUAACUGGAGGGAAAUUAGGGUGAGCCCCAGGAUUAGGUGAUACAGAUCCAGAAUUAGGUGAACCAUAUCAUCAAGGAUUUUGAUGUCCAUAGCGUUGCCUUCAUACUAACACUGUUUAUUCUCUCAAUGUGGGAUGUCUGAAACUUUGGGCUUCCUGGUUCACCUCUGUGAACAUGUCUCAUUAACCAGAAUUAUGGUAUGGACUGACUCCCAAACCAGUCACUGUGGCCAGUGUGAUGGACUUUACUGAUUCACUUAAACCAAAGUUCACUCCAAGAGCUGAAGGAAGAUUCUGAAUUCCACAGCUGCUUCAAAAUCUAAGAGAGAAAGGAGCCAAUCCGGGAGGUGACUAUGGUGUCCACUACAAGUUCCUCUUAACAACUCUCCACUUAAACUGUUGACUGUAGCUGGUACAUGGCAAGUUCUAAGUAAGUAUGAUCUGUCUAAUUGACUAUCUGCCUGUUUAUUACGAGCUAGAGUGAAGAUCCUGGGAAGGGUAAUAAUGGGAUGGACCCUACAGAAAACAUGAAGGGAAAGGCUAUGAAUAUUAAGGUCAACACCCCUCUGGACUCUUAUCUUGUGGCAACACAAAAGAAUUCAAGAAAGGGAUGGAGAUCUCUGGUCCUGAAGACUGCAUUUGGGGUUUCACUGGGUUCACACUUCAUUUGCAUCCACUCCUUUCUCCAGGUCUGGGAAGAGCCAUAUUUAUAUUUCUUCCACAUAGAAAUUGGCAUCAUAUCAUACUGAAAGGGCGGGCCUACGCCGGCCGACUCCAUCUUGUUCUGUGUCCUUCACCUAGACCACGCCUCCUCCCCUUGAGUAACCUCCCUCUCACCCAUUCAAACUUCCUGAUCAAAACACGCCCAGCGACCUGCAUAACAGGACUCUGCCCCUUCCCCAGCCAAUCGGCUGCCCCUAGACCCCUAUAAAACCUUUGUGCUUUUGAAACUCUCUCUCUCCCUGGUAUCUCACCGCUGCCUCGGUGCAGGUAGGGGAUUGAGCUCGAGCUAGCUCGAAUAAAGGCUCUUUUGCUUUUGCAUCGGACUCGGCUCCCUGGUGGUCUUUGGGGAUCACGAAUUCUGGGCAUAACAAUACCAGCUUUCUAGGAUCUGAGUUUUUAUUUAAAUCACUUUGCAAAUGAUUUCAGAAUAUAUAUAUAUAUAUAUAUAUAUAUGAAAAUAUAAAUAUGAAUAUAAAUAGAUAUUUAUAUAUCAUUAAUAUAAUAAUAUAAUAAAAUAAAUAUAUGUAUGUUGGGAAUUCAUUAUACUAAGUGUAAUAAGCCAGUCACAAAAGGAAAAAUACUGUGCGAUUCCACCUAUGAGGUAUCUGGAGUGGUCACAUUCAUAGAGACAGAAAGUAGAACAGUGGCUGUCAGAGGCUGGAGGAAGACAGAUGGGGAGCUACUGUUUAGUGGGGACAGAGUUUCAGUUUUGCAAGAUGGAAGAGGUUUGGAGAUGGGUGGUGGUAACAGUUUCACAACAAUAACUACUGCUGAACUGUAUACUUAAAAAUGGUUAAGGUGGCAAGUUUUAUGUUAUAUGUAUUUUGCCACAGUUAAAAAAAAAAGUCAGGAGUCAUAUGUGGGCUUCGCUUUCUUUUACCUUACUGUCACCAUCAUUCUUUUUUUUUUUUUUAAUGUUUAUUUUUGAGAGAGACACACACAGAGUAUGAGUGGGGGAGGGGCAGAGAGAGGGAGACACAGGAUCCAAAGCAGGCUGCAGGCUCUGAGCUGUCAACACAGAGCCCGACACAGGGCUUGAACCCAUGAACCGUGAGAUCAUGACCUGAGGUGAAGUUGGGCGCUUAACUGACUGAGCCACCCAGGCGCCCACCAUCAUUCUUUAAUAGCCUCUUUUCUAUUUCCAUUAUAAACAUCUUACUUGAAUGGCCAGCAAAAUUUUUUCCCACCUCAGGCAUCUGGACUUUUUUUUUUUUUUUUAAUGGUUAAAUUUAGACUUUCUAUUGAGGUACUCUAUAUUUCUUUCUAGAUUUACAAUGUUUUUUUUUUUUUUUCCCUAAAAUGUGCCUUUCCAUUUUUACCCUCCGUGACAGUGGAGUUCUUUUGCAGCUUUUUUUUUUCUUUCCCAAAUAAACUAACUUUAGUUAAUUUUAGCCUAACCACAUUUUGGGUAGGAUUUAGCAAAAGCCAAAUUCUACCACUUAUUGGGGCUGUAGCCUGAAUGUUCCAUGCCCCCCUCCCCGGGUGCUUUCUCAAGGGUUACUUCCUCUGCCAGGCCCUUUAUGAACAUAAUUUCACUGGGUUGCCCAGCUUCCCUAAGAGGUGUAUAUCACCACCAUUAUACACGGGGACACUCAGAGGGGGUUAGGUAACUUAUUCAAAUCUCUCAGGUGGUGUCUUUGGCUCCAAAGCUUUGUAAUGUCUUUCUUUCUGUACUACACUGCCUGCACCCUGUCUUUUCCUUCUACUCCAAGGCAUUAGGAUAUCUCUAUUUCCAACCCCUUGGAGCACCGAAUCCCUUUGUGGGGAUUGAAAAAGCCUGCUAGUGAGAGCUGGCAGUAGAGUCCUCUGCUGUAGAGAUGGGUCAUCAGAGCUUUCGGACUCACCCCUUCUGUCUCCCCUGUCCAGCUGCCCAGGUCUUGCUCUCACCCCAAUUCUCCAGCAGCCAUCACCACACCUAACCCAAUGGACACUUCGAUCCUCUCCUUGAGCCAGCCUGGGUGGAGACAAAUUCCCAUCUUCCCUGUUUUGAGCAGAAACAAGGAGAGAACAUAUCAAAGGAAAGGCACAUUUGCUGUGAAUGUAAGAUGAAACCAAAUCAAAUUGCAACCAGGAAAGACAAAAGGGGGAUCUUUUUCAUAAUUGAACUGCAGUCCUUCCAGAGUGGCUGAGGAUUGAUCUGGCUGCAGCUCUAUUCCCCAUCUGCCCCCCAGAUCUCCUCAAGGGGAAAGAAGCCAAAUUUUGACUCCUUCAUCCUUCCUGGGCCAACAGUGGGUCUGGGGGCCAAAUGGACCAUUGCUCCUAGAGCCAGAACCCUCACAUCUCUCCAACAUCAAAGUGACAUGAUACCUGGAACCUACUGUCCUCUCUUGGAGGGGAGCUGGUAAAGGAAACUAACAUAUUGAGCAUUAGUGUGAGAAGAGCAUGGGAUGUGAAGGCAUGCCCACAAACAAGGCGUUGCAAGGAAGAGUUAAGAGUGUGUUCAGAUUCCAGCAGCAUCCACCACUAGUGGUGAGAUCUCAGGCUGGGCAAAUCAUCGCACCCCUCUGUGUCCCACUUCCCUCUUAUGUUGGGUAUCUGAGAGGAUUGAAGAGGUAAAUGCACACAGCACUCAACAACAUCCCAAAGUGUUCACUUUUAUCAAUGACCCUAUGCAUUAGGUGUCAGUACUCCAACUGCACCAAUGAGGCAGCCUUUGAACGCAGGUCUGCUGUGGUCAGGGCUCACAUUCUUUCCAUUUCCCUAUCGCGGUGGCCCCAGUAUGAGGACUUGUUCUCAUACCGUCUUGCACCAUUACCAAGCUGUGCAUUUGUGGAGUCCUUAACAGCCCUAAGUAAAUAGCUAUUUGAAUUGAAUGCAUGAAUGCCCAUGUUAGUGAAAGGAGAGGAAAUGAUUUGAAUUUGAGAGACAGAAAAAGCAUUUAUAUCAGAAGCAAAUAGAUUAAUUCAUUUAGACAGUCAGUUGGUUAAUAUUUACAGAGUAUUCAUAGGAUACCUGGCCCUAUUCAUAUAGGUUAUACCAUUGGGGAUGCCUGGAGGAAGUGGGGCAGGUGGGGAGGGGGCAGAGGAUUGGAGGCAUGGGGAAAGUUGGUCUAAAAAAAUAAAAGUCUGAAUUAUAAUAUUUAAUAUUAAUAUUACUUUAUAGUCUUCAGGCAAUUGUAAUCCUCAAACUGAGCUAAAAAAAGUGUUAGAGAAAGUAAAAACUGAUAAUGUGACUUAUAAUAACUGUAUUAAUAGUUGUUAUAUAAAAAUAUUUAUGUCCUCUUCUAUCCCCAAAUACUGGUUACAUGAAUGCUUUGUAUAAUCUCUCAAAGCUAGUGAUUUUAAAUUCCAAAUUAGCACAGACCCCAGGUGAAGGUUUUUAUUGGAUUGCUGCUAUGGGCAGAAAGUACUUAUAAAAAAGACACCAUGCCUUGGAUUGAAGGACAAGAUUCUAGAGAGCAGGACUUUGUGUCUUUUAAAUAUUUUUCAUUAACUUAUUUUUAAUUUUUUUAACUUUAUUAUUUUUGAGAGAGAAAGAGAGAGACAGAGUGUGAAUGGAGAAGGGGCAGAGAGAGAGGGAGGCACAGAAUCUGAAGCAGACUGCAGGCUCUGAGCUGUCAGCACAGAUCCCAACAUGGGGCUUGAACCCACAAACCAUGAGAUAAUGACCUGAGCUGAAGUUGGCCACUUAACCAACUGAGCCACCCAGGUGCCCCAGAAUCUCAUGUCUUGAAGGAGGUUUAUGUUCCUUGAUUCAAUCAUUCAUUAGAUUUAUGAAGAGGACAGGCAGCAAAUAGGAACCUCAAAGGUCAGAGGCAUGUGCAUUUAUUUGGGGGUAACACCACCAUAGCUGGAAAGGCUUGAUGUAGUUAGGGUUGUGGGUGGAUUGGUGGAGAGGGGGGAAGAGAGAGAGGAACCUGGGCCACAGAUCCCUCAGUGUGGGCAUCUGCAGGUUCAGACAGGUGAGGGAACAGACAGGUUGAAGCAGGUUAGAUCACAGGUGACACAGGAAGAAAGGGCGCUUGGGAGUGGCUCUCAAGCAUGAAUCCUUGAAAUAAGUGUUGAAAUAGAAGUGAGAUGAAUCUGGAGACCUCACUCCUCUUGCAGCCAAUCUUGAGUCACUAAAUGGAUUCUGGUUGUUGCAGAAAGGGGACUCUCGGAGGAAGUCUAGUAAAGUGCCUCCAAGCAUAUUUGAAUCCCAAUCUGUCACAGGUUGAAGAAUCUUGGUGAAUCACUUAAUCUUUAGGCUUCUACUUCCUCAUCCAUAAAGUGGGGAUGACAACAGUAUCUGCCUCACAGGGAUGUUACGAGGAUUAAAGAACUUGAUGAAUGUCACAAGCUCAGCAUUGUCCCCAGCACCUUGGUGCUCCAUACCAGGCAGUGAUGAUUAUUAGUGCACUGGAGAGACCUAGGGCUAUCACUUUUGGUUUGUGAGCCCUGCAAGGGCAGGUUCUAUGGUUUUAUCUUUAAGUACUAUUAAAUUACUUAGUUGAUCAUUGUUAUUGUUGCUAAUAAAAUAACAUUUAGCUUUCCUGAAACUCGGCUUCUGCCUCUAGUGGUGACUAAUACCUGAUAACAAGCAAGCUCUCUGGAAUCAACUCUUCCAGGGUUUUUUUCAACCAGAAAAAAAUAGAUGGCUGAGGAAUAGCCAUACAGUUAAGCUGUCAUGUGAGUUUUCCCCACUCCCAUUGCUUGUCUUCACUUUAUUCCCUGAACCCCAGAUCCCAAUAAAGGAGAUAGCAUAGAUAGAAAGAAGAAAGAAAUAUGAAAGCAAAAAUAGUUUUUGACUCAGAGGGUUGGAAGGCAUUGAAGGUUCUCCAGACCAACCACCUCACAGUCAACAAAGAGUGAUAACAGUGAUGUCAAGAAGGAAAUGGAGAGAAGUGGAAGGAGGGAGGGAGCCCUCCAGAGAGAAGCAGGGGUAAAGGAUAUAAAGUGGCUGGACAGAAGAUUUACUCCUAAUUACAAUGUUAACAACUGAUUGGUGUCAUGCUGGAUAGGCCGAGAUCCUCAGGGAGUAGACAGGAGGUCUCUUCUCCCUAUCCUCUCCCACUUAAAUUUCUUAGUACUUGAUGCAUCUUUCCAUCUUUCUUUGCAAUCUUUUUCCUUUUGAAAUGUCUCUCUACAUCUCUUUUAUUCUGAGCAUAAACUUUUUUUUUUUUAGAAAAGUCCCUUCACUUCCUUAUUUUCUCUCCCUCUGCCUCUCCAACUCUCUAUCUCCUGCCCUUUUGCCCUUCUGUUCUGGUUGCUUAUUUCCUUUUCUGUCUUACUUGCCAUCCAUCUUGCUCUAACGCCACAUAUGAGUUUUUAUUCAUCCUCAGCCCAAGAUAACUCCAUCCCUUCAUGGAGAGGAAGACCUAGGAAAAAUCCAGAGCUCUGGGUUCUGGCCCUUCUCUUAUUGUGCAGCUCUGUUAUUCCUUUAGUGUUUUUAAUUCUCAGUCUCAGCAUUAAAAAGAGAGAAUGAGCUAGGAUACUGCUCAGUACUGCUCUCCAUGAAUUACAUUUCAACUAAAGGCUUAGAAGACACAGCUUCACUGUUUAAGAUGCAAGAUGUUCCAGCCAAUGUUAUGCCACUGAUGUUAUGCUUUUAUGGGAUGAGAUAUUCUGGUGGAAACCCAGCCUCAGCUACUCUGCAGCCUACAGGCAUUGGGACACUUUGUAAUAUUUGGUAGACUUUGCUUUGGAAUUAUGGAGACUUUGGCAGAAAGUUCCUUCAAAGUCAAUGUAGUCUACCCUGUCCCCUGAUGUCUGCAUCCCUGAAUCCAGGGAAGGGGACACUCACUAUUUCCCAAGGCAGCCCAGUCCAUUUCAUGGCCAAGUAAGAAAGCUGAAUUUUCAAAGAAAACAUUCUCAUGUUUGGUCAUGGUGGUGGUUUGCUUAGCAAACUAUCCGUCCAUGAAUGACAGUUAUUCUCAAUUCUAAGCAGCUACAGGUCAUUCCCCUCCAAUCAAGUUCUUUGCAAGAGAAAGGGCUCUAAAAUUAUCAGAAUACUGGAUUGUUUGUCUUCCUGAAAUUUACAGAUGUAGAGAUAAAAAUGUGUUUGUCGUGCAGGGAUCCAUCCUCGUCAGCCUCAUCAUCAGGCAUAAUAAUGUCUAACACUUCUGUAGACUUACUAGGCACAAGGCAUUAUUCUAGCCAUUUGUAUAUAUUAAAUCAAGAAAAUAUGAUUUCUCUAAAUAACUUUCCUAUUUCCUUCCCUAAAGGGGUUUGAAUAUAAUGACACAUCAACAAGAGAAGGAACCUAAAUGUCACCUGGUCCAAUCCCCAGCUUUGCUGAUAAAUCCCAGAGAGGUUAUCUGCCUUACCUUAGGUCACCCAGCUAUAGUGGUAGAAUGGGACCUCAAGUGUUUUAAUAACAAGCUCACUAUUUAGAGCCAGGAUCAAGGAAGGUAUUUAGGGAACCUGAGAUUCUUUUUCUGGAAUACUCUGCCUCAUUCUGCUUUACCUGUGGCUAGUACUCAGCCAUAAAGGUGCCAAAAUCACCCUUCUAUUUUUCCUACCUUCUUAUCUUUUAAAAUAAGCCCUUCUUUGAAUCUCCUUUCAGCACUUGUAUCAUCUGUCCUUUCAUUUCUCAGUAUAUUUAAAAACUUUUCUAAUGUAGCCAAGUGAGUUUCUCUCCAGGUUAAAGUGAGAUUUCUGGUUUUGGAAGAAAACAAUCAUUUCAACUUCAUUGCCAUUGACUCUUAUCAGAACAAUUGCCAAACAUAGUUUGGUUGACUAAUUCAAGAUCUGUUGGAUCUUUUUCCUUUGGUGGCCUGUAGUAAAGGAUAUAAGAAACAGUGGGAGGGCAGGUGUCAUGGUGAGGAGACCUUUGGGUAGAAAAGGAGAUGGAUAGUAUCUUUUCUGGUUACAUGUUGAACAGAACACCUCUCUGGAGGGAGAAAAGCAAGCUGCCUCCCCGUUUGCUUUGAUGGAAAUCCAUCUAAAUUUUGCUUCUGGUACAACCCAGGAGCACAGUAUGAAACUCCUGCCCAACUCUGACUGUGAACAUUUCUUCCCAAGAAGCUCUAUCUGUUUCCAAUCCACAUUUGGAACUAGGUCUGGCAAUAUUCAUAGAGAGGAAAGAUUUUGUCCUCUCAGAACACAGGAAUAUUCUAUGUCAGCAGUUGCCUUUUUCUCAAUAUGAGUUUGGUGCAUCGGUGUGUGGGCUACAUAGAAUAUUUUAAAAUCAUACUUGCCUUCAAAUGUUGACAACUUUAUAAACAGUAUGGACAUGGACAGAUAAAUCAAAUUCGAUUUAUAACAAAUGCUAAGGUAAUUCCCAAACUAUUUUAUUGUACAGAAUAUUAUUCAGAAUGUUUGUUGGGUUUAAGUUUCUCUUGUUUUUUAUUAUUUACUUUUAUUUAUUAUUAUUAUUAUUACUUUUAGAGAUAGAAUGCAAUUGGGGGAGAGGAGCAGAGGAAAAGAGAGAAUCUUAAGCAGGCUCCACAUUCAGCGUGGAGCCCGACCUGGGGUUUGAUCCCACGACCCUGGGAUCAUGAUCUGAGCUGAAGUCAAGAGUUGGACACUCAACCGAGUCAUCUAGGCAACCCUUCUUUUAUUUUUAAUAUAGAUAUAAUUAUAGUUGUAUUUGUUGGGAAAAAGUACUUGAGAGAUUGGUUGGUUUUUAGUUAGGUUUUGGGCAAAAGUGUGUUUUCCUUAGUUGUACGAACUUUUCUCCACUUCCUAGCUAGAAAUAUGGGGUUUGUGUGCAUUUUAGGGUCACACAUACCUGGGACUGAAUCUUCAUUCUACCACUUACAGUUGUGGAAGUGUGUGUGUGUGUGUGUGUGUGUGUGUGUGAUUUAGUCCUUUGAACUUCGACUUCCUUCUAUGUAAUAGCACUUCUCUCACAAGCCAACCUGGGUGUCAAACAAGAUAUUUGGAAAGCACAUGGAAUAAGUUUGCAUAGUGCUAGGUAUACAGACACUCCGUAAAUGUUAGCUUCCCUGUUUGUGUGUGUGUGUGUGUGUUUGGAGUGAAGAGGGGAAACUAAGUUGACGAGUAAAAAUUGGAGGACCAUUCCAGAAAUAAACAAUCAAACUAACAAAAAAAAAUCAAACACAAAACAGAAAGGAACUGAGGGGUGAGAAAUGGCAAAAACAUUUAGAAAAAUGCUAUCAACAGGUAUUUACUAAGCUAUUUAUAUGUUUAGGUCCUUUACCAGGUGACCAACAUGUGGGACUCAAGGAUACACUCUGUUUGGAGAGAUAAGAUUUAUUCAUUUGUAAAAUAGAUAAUGAAAAUGCAAAGAAGUUGUUCCUCCUGGAGUUGAGAGGAGAGAGCAAUCUCUGUGCUUAUGGCAUCUUUGGAGACAAGAGAGAAGUUCAGUGGUGCUGAGGGUGGGAGGCAAGGGCAGAUGAGAAAACCUUGACAUGACCAGCCUUUUGAGUCUUAUGACAAAGGCUUGGGAAUGGCUGAACAAGGUGAGACAACUGAGUUGUUGUUGUUGUUGUUGUUGUUGUUGUUGUUGUUGUUUAAAUAGCAGUGGUGAAAAAUGAUCUUGAUAUUUUUUUGAACAACAGAAAAUCCCAAACAAGCCUAAAUGGGGCUGGAUAGUCUCACUGCAUUUAUGCUAAGGGAGUGGUGGUAGGUGGACAAGCUGAAGCCAUACAGUGCACACUCCUGGCUUCCUUAUUGGGACUGAGAGAUACCCAUACCCUUUGUUGAGUUACUUAUCCAGAUCCUCCUUAAGCUCCCUUUCUUUUUUCCCAGCAGAUCCCGGGAGAGAUGUCCUUUCAACCCCGUGUCUCUGCUAAACGCCUUUUGGAUCCAAGCAGUGGAGCCCAUUGGAUGACUGGACUAACUCAGAGACUAUUACUGAGGCUUAUUAGGCUGGCAAAAAGAAUUCUAGCCAAAUCUUCCAGGUUAGAAGAGAAAUGACAGCUGCCCCUGAAGGGAUUCCCAGGAUGGAGCACAGCAACCAUCCUACAAAGGGUUAAUACUCCCCCUCCCCUGGCCCCCAACUUGCUGCCAGAGAUCAGCUAAUCUGAUAAUUACAGCAACAAACACAGUUUAGACAAACAAGACCUGACCCUGAGGGUUUGGAAUGAAAACAUUUACUCUCUCCCUCCCCAGAGAGACGGUGCCUGGAGCAUACACACAGAGACACUGGGAAAAUACCCCUGUGCUGGAGUGAGGGGUGAAAACAUCUGUGUUCCUGAGCUGCUUGGGAAGAUAGCGUUAAUGGGGAGGGGGUUCAGUGGGGGAGGCGGAGGAGUGGGCAGUGGUGCAGUGGGAGGGUGUGCAGGCUGGGAGCAGAUGGAACAUGUACCCAUAACUGGAGCUAUAAGCCAAUUGUAAUUGAUUUUUACAGCAGAGGCAGAGUGCAGGGAGAGGUACAUAGGAGACUCAGCGAUUCAGAAUUCUAGUGAAAAACCUGGAAAGUGGCUAAGUGGGGAGAAACGUCCUACGACACCAAAGUGGGGUCUAUUUUUUUUACUAAAAAAUGUUUUUAAUGUUUAUUUUAUUUUUGAGAGAGAGAGAGGGAGAGAGAGAGCGCAUGAGAGAGUGGGGGAGACACAGAAUCCAAAGCAGGGUCCAGGCUCUGAGCUGUCAGCACAGAGCCCGACUUGGGGUUCAAACCCAUGAACCAUGAGAUCAUGACCCCAGCUGAAAUUGAGCCUUAACCCACUGAGCCACCCAGGCACCUGAGGAUCUAUUCCUGAGAGCUAGAGGUGAAGAAUAUUCAAAACAGCCCGAUUCUAAGUCAAGUUGACAUCUGCCCACCAGGGAGUGAGGGGCUCAUCCUUUUCUCACCCCCAAAAUUUGGCUUCAAAUUCUACCGGCUUCAAAACAUGUCAAAGUAUUUCCCCCCUCUUUUACUUCUAAAUGCUGGUUCCUAGAAGAAACCUUUCUGGGUUGCUUAAACGGGAAGGGCUGAUGUGCC
rnacentral:lncRNA from 1 species